rnacentral:rRNA from 1 species
UUUUAUUUGAGAGUUUGAUCCUGGCUCAGGAUGAACGCUGGCGGCGUGCCUAACACAUGCAAGUUGAGCGAUUUACUUCGGUAAAGAGCGGCGGACGGGUGAGUAACGCGUGGGUAACCUACCCUGUACACACGGAUAACAUACCGAAAGGUAUGCUAAUACGGGAUAAUAUAUUUGAGAGGCAUCUCUUGAAUAUCAAAGGUGAGCCAGUACAGGAUGGACCCGCGUCUGAUUAGCUAGUUGG